UACGGGGGGGGCAAGCGUUGUUCGGAAUUACUGGGCGUAAAGGGCGCGUAGGCGGCCUUCUAAGUCGGACGUGAAAUCCCUCGGCUCAACCGGGGAACUGCGUCCGAUACUGGAGGGCUUGAAUCCGGGAGAGGGAUGUGGAAUUCUAGGUGUAGCGGUGAAAUGCGUAGAUAUCAAGAGGAACACCUGAGGUGAAGACGGGUUGCUGGGCCGACACUGACGCUGAUAGCGCGAAAGCCAGGGGAGCAAACGGGG
rnacentral:rRNA from 1 species